rnacentral:snRNA from 1 species
GAGAUUAUGGAAGCUAGUG